AAGGGUGCGUUUGGGGGAGGGAAAGAGUUAUGGGGGAAAAGGAUUAUAAUAAUCCUAGGAUUAUGAUAAUCCUAGUGUUAUGAUAAUAUGUGUUUGGGGGAAAGAAUAUAAAAGGUAGUAUUAUAAUAGUAUGUGUUUGGGAGAGAGAUUAUGAUAGUAGUGUUAUAGUAAUAUGUGUUUGGGGGAAGGAUUAUGAUUGUAGUAAUUUAAAAAAUAAUAAUAGAAUUUAGAUUGGGUUAUUUAGGUAGGGUAAUGUAGGGUUGUAAGAAAGUAAAAAUAGGAUAAGAUAGGGUUAUUUAGGGAUUAGGAUUAUUUAUCAUAUUCCUUGGGCCAAACACGGUUUGGCCCAAUUUCCUAA